UACGUAGGUGGCGAGCGUUGUCCGGAAUUAUUGGGCGUAAAGGGCGCGUAGGCGGCUCUUUAAGUCAGAUGUGAAAACCCAGGGCUUAACUUUGGGAGUGCAUUUGAAACUGAAGGGCUCGAGUGCAGGAGAGGUAAGUGGAAUUCCUAGUGUAGCGGUGAAAUGCGUAGAUAUUAGGAGGAACACCAGUGGCGAAGGCGACUUACUGGACUGUAACUGACGCUGAGGCGCGAAAGCGUGGGGAGCAAAC
rnacentral:rRNA from 1 species